rnacentral:rRNA from 1 species
GUGAGGUGGGGGUGCUAUACAUGCGUCGAGCGGACAGAAGGGAGCUUGCUCCCGGAUGUUAGCGGCGGACGGGUGAGUAACACGUGGGUAACCUGCCUGUAAGACUGGGAUAACUCCGGGAAACCGGAGCUAAUACCGGAUAGUUCCUUGAACCGCAUGGUUCAAGGAUGAAAGACGGUUUCGGCUGUCACUUACAGAUGGACCCGCGGCGCAUUAGCUAGUUGGUGAGGUAACGGCUCACCAAGGCGACGAGCGUAGCCGACCUGAGAGGGUGAUCGGCCACACUGGGACUGAGACACGGCCCAGACUCCUACGGGAGGCAGCAGUAGGGAAUCUUCCGCAAUGGACGAAAGUCUGACGGAGCAACGCCGCGUGAGUGAUGAAGGUUUUCGGAUCGUAAAGCUCUGUUGUUAGGGAAGAACAAGUGCAAGAGUAACUGCUUGCACCUUGACGGUACCUAACCAGAAAGCCACGGCUAACUACGUGCCAGCAGCCGCGGUAAUACGUAGGUGGCAAGCGUUGUCCGGAAUUAUUGGGCGUAAAGGGCUCGCAGGCGGUUUCUUAAGUCUGAUGUGAAAGCCCCCGGCUCAACCGGGGAGGGUCAUUGGAAACUGGGAAACUUGAGUGCAGAAGAGGAGAGUGGAAUUCCACGUGUAGCGGUGAAAUGCGUAGAGAUGUGGAGGAACACCAGUGGCGAAGGCGACUCUCUGGUCUGUAACUGACGCUGAGGAGCGAAAGCGUGGGGAGCGAACAGGAUUAGAUACCCUGGUAGUCCACGCCGUAAACGAUGAGUGCUAAGUGUUAGGGGGUUUCCGCCCCUUAGUGCUGCAGCUAACGCAUUAAGCACUCCGCCUGGGGAGUACGGUCGCAAGACUGAAACUCAAAGGAAUUGACGGGGGCCCGCACAAGCGGUGGAGCAUGUGGUUUAAUUCGAA